GGGCGGGACUUCCGGGGCGGGCCGCUGGUACCCGGUGCGGAAGGGCCCGACCCGGUCCGGUCGGAAACAAAGCGGGCGGCGGCGCAGUGGGCCCGGUAUGGCGGUGCGGCCGGCCCGGCUCCGUGUCUGGCUGCUCCUGCAUUUUCUGCCGCAGGUGUACUGCGAGUAUGGGAUGGUACACGUCCUUUCAGAGAAGGGGAGCAGCAAAGGAAAAGACUACUGCAUCCUCUUCAACUCUCAGUGGGCCCAUUUGCCACACGAUCUGGGUAAAGCUUCACUCUUGCAACUGCAGGAUCAGACAGCAUCCGUUUUGUGUUCUCCUUCGGAUGUACCCGAUGGGGGAUUUAAUAAUCAAAUCCCCAUGGUGAUGCGAGGGAAUUGCACCUUCUAUGAGAAAGUGAGGCUUGCUCAAAUAAAUGGAGCUCGUGGGCUGCUGAUUGUUAGUAGAGAGAGACUGGUUCCUCCUGGGGGUAACCGGAGUCAAUAUGAAGAGAUUGAUAUUCCUGUGGCUCUGCUCAGCUAUACUGAUAUGUUAGAUAUUGGCAAGAGUUUCGGCAGCUCAGUGAAAGGGGCCAUGUACGCACCAAACGAGCCUGUGCUGGACUAUAACAUGGUGAUAAUAUUUGUCAUGGCUGUGGGGACUGUUGCAAUUGGAGGCUACUGGGCAGGAAGCAGAGAUGUGAAAAAGCGGUACAUGAAGCACAAACGUGAUGAUGGGGCAGAGAAACACGAUGAUGAAACAGUUGAUGUGACUCCAAUAAUGAUCUGUGUAUUUGUAGUGAUGUGCUGCUCCAUGCUGGUCCUCCUUUAUUUCUUCUAUGACCACUUAGUCUAUGUUAUCAUAGGAAUAUUCUGCCUGGCAGCCUCAAUUGGUCUUUACAGUUGUCUGUCUCCCUUUGUGAGAAGAUUCCCCGUGGGAAAGUGUAGAAUUCCAGACAACAACUUGCCUUAUUUUCACAAGCGUCCGCAGGUCCGGAUGUUGCUGUUGGCGGUAUUUUGUAUCUCUGUCAGUGUAGUCUGGGGAGUCUUCAGAAACGAAGAUCAGUGGGCCUGGGUUCUGCAAGAUGCUUUAGGAAUCGCCUUCUGUCUUUACAUGUUGAAAACAAUUCGACUGCCUACAUUUAAGGGCUGUACCUUGCUCCUGAUGGUUCUUUUUGUGUAUGAUGUAUUCUUUGUAUUCAUCACACCUUUUCUAACAAAGACUGGGGAGAGUAUAAUGGUGGAGGUGGCUGCAGGCCCUUCUGAUUCUGCCACUCAUGAAAAGCUCCCGAUGGUUCUGAAGGUUCCACGGCUGAACUCCUCGCCGCUGGCUCUGUGUGACAGGCCUUUUUCUCUCCUAGGAUUUGGAGACAUUUUAGUUCCAGGCUUGCUGGUAGCCUAUUGCCAUAGAUUUGAUAUUCAGGUGCAGUCGUCCAGAGUCUAUUUUGUAUCCUGCACAAUAGCAUACGGCAUUGGCCUUCUCGUAACCUUUGUUGCCCUGGCGCUGAUGCAGAUGGGCCAGCCCGCUCUCCUCUACCUGGUACCCUGUACGCUCCUCACCAGCUUUGCUGUGGCUCUUUGGAGAAAGGAGCUUGCAAUGUUCUGGACGGGCAGCGGCUUUGCGAAAGACCUACCUCAGCCUCCCUUGGUGAUAGCUCCUGUCAACUGCCCUGAGCUUCCCAAAGACAGCAACGUACCAGCCUCUGAACAAGACACAGAGCAAAUGACUAAUCCUACCCUCCAUGUGAAGGAGCCGCGUGGCCCCACCACGGCUGCAGAGGAGCUGGCUGAUACUGACACAAAGAUGGACCAGUCAGAAAUCUCUGUUGCACAGAGUGAGGAACCAGCUGGUGAGAAUAAGGGUGACCUUGAAAGCAAAUGCCUAAAUGCAGAGCAAAAACAGCUGGAAUAAAAAACGUGAUAAGAACUCCUUCUUUUCCCUCACAAACAUAUCCAUAUAAAACCAGUAUGUAUUUAGGACUGGUUUAGUAGUGUUUGCGUUCAUUGAGGAACCUCACUGGGAGUCUGAUCAUCAAAUCCAUCAACGAAUGUUCUGCCUCCAGCUUUGGUACAACUACACACUUCAAACAUCCUUCUGAAAUAUGGUGCUCUACAAGGGUUCUAAUGGAUGGAUUUCAGUGAUCAUCUUAUUAGCGAAUGCCUUUGACCGUUCCAUUUUCAUUAUACCAGGAUAGUAUUAAGAGUCUUUAUUUACACAGUACUCUGUGCUUGUGUGCUAUUUUGCUGCUUUAGCAUAGCAUAGGUUAUCAUGGAGGAAAAGCAUUGAACAAGUCUGCUACAAUGCUUGGUUGAGAGAAACAUGAUACUUUUUUUUUAGCACUUUCCCUGUUGACACCUUUUACUUUGCUUUUCCCUACUUGUUAAAGCCAUUGGUACAAGGCAAUGCUUUAGUAUAAACUGACAUUCAGGAAAUGCAGAGGGUGGUUAAAUUACCAGCCUCUGAAAGGAUUUAUACUACCGUGGUGCAUUAAAUGCAUCUCUUAACUUUUUUUGUCUUUGUUUUUACUUCCAGGUACCUGGGUUGGCUACUAGUCUAGUUUAAAAGGCAGGAUGAAUGGAGCUACAGGAAGCUUUCUAAGCACUGUUAUGAACUCUAGGGGUUGUCUCUGAAAAUAACCAGUGUUUGUCACAGAACACUGGACGCAAAAGCAUAUUAAGGACGUUUAAUGUUUUAGAAAUAAAAUGCAAGCCAAAUAGGUAAGAAAGUAGGUAGCAGCACUAUGCUGAGCUUAAUAGGUGGUAUUUUCGUUGGGAAAAUGUUGAAGUCAAGCAGUAAAAGAUCAUACGUUUGGGGUUUUGAGCUUCUACCUGUUAUUUAAGAAAUAUAAUUGUAGUUUAUAAUUCUGAAGAAAAUAAUCCGGUGUUUUCAUUCCCAAGGGAGCACAUACGGUGCUAUAGUCAGUUGUGAUUUAAAGGUACUUGCUGCUCAGUAACUGAUCAACUGCCUCCGUCAUGUUUUGUCUUUGUCCCGAGAGCAGCUGAAGCAUGGCCUGUCAGGUUCUGGAAUGAGGUGGUGAUCCAGCCUAUCUUGCACCUCUUGUUACACGUCAUCAUGAAGGACUAAAUCUGUGAAUUCAAAACUUCUUGGGGUGCAGCUGGUCUUACUUUUAUAUUCCUGAAACUGUGCGUUUUCCUGUAUAACGUGAUGGAGUCUUUUAUGCACCAACUUCAGUACACGUAGAGGGAUGAUGUGAUUUGCUUAUUACUUAUUCCAUCUAAGAACGUUUGCCUUUAUCAAAGGUGUCUGUUCUACACUUAAAUUACAAUCCCAGAAAGCCUCAAACGUUUCACGUUGCAACUGAAAUAGAAAAUGGAAGUAUUCUAGGAUCCUAGAAUAUGAUUGCAAAUCGCAUGGAGGAGACACUCUUCCGAGUGUUUGAGAGCCCAAAGUGUCAUUUACAAAAGCAUCAUCACAAUGGCAGGAUCAGAGGCAACGCUUUUAAAUUAAGCGUCUCCAGUUGGCGUGUUGAGUUGCAGUCGGAAGGGUUCUCUUUCAUUGUCUGUCUGUACACUUCAGCCAUUGUCUUUUUGGCUCGGUCUUUCAAACGUUUGCCCUGUGUUUUUUGGAUGAUAACUUCUGGUUUUUGUCUCUUUCCCGUUGGGUGGAUACUACUCUUUCUCUAGAAUGUGAAAGCCUUUCUGUAAAACCACGCUAUGGCUUCCGAGUUUUACCGGCUUCCACUUAAAACCUCAAGCCCUGGCUGAUAAAUUGAUUUAAUGAUUUGAUUUUUUGCAUCCGUGCUGCAUCGCGCAGACUGGGAACAUCUCCUCACCCUAAUGGUAGUGCCGCCUGACCUGUGAGUACGCCGGGAAACAGCACUGGCUGGAGUCGGGAAGAAACCAGCUAGUAAACCGUACUGAAAUAAUACGAUUUCCAUUGAAAAAUAAUUAAAAACAUGGCUGCGUUCAUGACUUAAUAUUUCAUUUGGGAGAUGCUGUGCGUUUACCUGCAGCUUGUUGUUCUCUAGAGUCUGAUGGGCGAAAGAACGCGUAGAGAAUUUAAAGGUAACUUUCUACUUAACCACAAUCCGUGUUCUCCCGUAGAUUCCGCCUUUGAAAGCUCUUUCAAAACACGACACUUGAGCCCACAUAUAUGCUCCGUGUUUCCUGGAUAUCUCACCCUACUGUUUGUAGAACUCUUCCUGGCUAGACAAUUUAAAAAAAAAAAAAAAAAAAAGAAAAGCCUGUAUCGGGUGUUUGGUAACAGCAUUGCCUUGAAGUAAAUGCUUACACCCAGCUAUUUUAGCGCAAGAUCCGGCAGUUUUGUUCUUACCUUUCUUCUCUUUACCCCCUUGGUUGGGCAGUGCGUGUGUUCCUGGGUUCUUGCACUACACUGGCUGUGUUAGCAUGUAAAGCCCUGUGAUAUUUAUUUUUUAAUGACAGCUUUUGGUUAUCAGUUAACAAAACAGCAGUUUCUACAUGCUUUCGUCGUUUGGCCUGUUGUUUGUAGUACGUUGAUGGAUAAAUAAGCUGGCUAAGCAGUAAUGUGCAAUAUUGACACUUGACACACAUCACCUUGACACCAGUAGGUGUUUUCAAUACAGACAUACCAGCAGAUCCAAAUAUUUGUCCAAAGCCUGCAGAGAUGGUGCCUUUUUCCAUGACAAAUAUAACCUCUGGUGUUUUAAAAUAAAAAUCUGUGUAAGGGCUGCGUUUUCAGGUAAAUUAGGAUGUUAUUAUUAGAGCCCAGAAGAGAACAGGGACUAUGAUGUCCAGAAAACAUCAGUGUUGAGGGAUAUGAAUUGUUUAGCGUAAGAAGGAAAGAGUAAUCUUUAGGUAUUUUAGCUGGAGUGUGGUUUCCCGGCGGGACAUGAAGCACAGGGUCGCACUUACAGCUCUUUGGUUUUUCAGGUUAGGCUCUAUGCCAGCAGUGCUAGGCAGGAUGGAGGGGGAAAGAAAGGAUAAGAAAAAAGUGAAGGUGGCUUGGAAAGAAUGAGGAGCUACAGAAAAAGAACGGCAGUGGACGAGUUUACUUCAGAGAGGUCCAAAACUACUACUCCAAAGAGAAGACCUAAGGGUGUGUAUGACAAAUAUCCAAAAAUCUGAAAUGCUGCUGCAAAUUGGAUGGUAUUGGAAUGAACAGGCGUCAAUUACAGCAAGGGAGUUUGGGGGCAGGUGGCACAAAAGUCUCUAUGAAUGGCUAACAACCUGAGGGGUCAGUCAGGGGAAGCGCGUGAGAGCUCUGUGGGGCAGGGCUGUUUGCGAUGCGUGCGGCCGCUGGGCUCGUCUUGUUCUGAGAGUAAAGACUUUAACCACGGAGACCACGAGCCGUGUCGUGCCACCUACAUCAGACGCCAGCGAACAAGCCCUGGCCCACUUGAGUAGAGGCGUAGUCUGAGGAUCGGGCUUUCUACGAUUCAAUGCCAUUGUGGCGUGAGCUUUAUCCCAGAGCAGUUGGUUUAUAUCUUAGAAGUGCCGUACUGGAGUUUUGCAAGCAUUGUGACUGACAUCGCGGAUCUUGUGUUACAAAGGCUCUUCUGUUUUUGUUAAUUUAAAGAUGAUAAAUCCUCUGGAAAAGAAACCACAUCAAGGCACGUGUUAAAUAGAGGCAGUGCUCUUUCUACUCAGAUAAGAAUAUUUUUUUUUUUCAAAUGUAUGUUUAAUUUGUUUGGUUGCAUUGAAUGUUCCUGGCACCCUGGAGCAUUUUCAGAACAGGACAGCCUUGUGUUCCACCAGAAGAUUCCUUUGGCACUGGCACAAGAGAAUUGUCUCCUCACUGAUCCUCUUUUAUCUUCUGCAUCUAUCAAUUAUGUGCUCUUCUGCGAUUGUUUCACCCUUGCCUUUGCUUCUUCCAGUUUUGCAGGUAAACAUUCAAAUUACGUGGAGUAAAGAUGAGGUUUUGCCAACUGUAGAUUAGUGAGAGAUGACAAAUAAUGUGCUUAAAUUCGAUGUUCUUGAACUGUGCACUAGUAUAUUGUGCACAGAGUCGUCAUUCUUGUGAUGCAGUGGCUGUUCCGGCUCUGUUUUCCCAGCAGCUGUUGGGGAAUAUUGCAGCUCCUGGUCCUCUUGUUGAUCUGCUGGUAGCCAAGGGUUACAAGUGUGCAUGCUCCUCGGAUAAUUCGGAGCCACCUUCCUUACAGAAUCACAGACUGGCUGGGGUUGGCAGGGACCUCUGGAGAUCAUCUCCUCCAACCCCCGGCCAGAGCAGGGUCACCCACAGCAGGUGGCACAGGAACGCGUCCAGGCGGGGUUGGAAUGUCUCCAGAGACGGAGACUCCACCACCUCUCUGGGCAGCCUGUGCCAGGGCUCUGCCACCCUCACAGCAAAGAAGUUCCUCCUCGUGUUGAGAUGGAACUUCCCAUGGUCAAGUUUGUGCCUGUUACCCCUUGUCCUGUCCCCGGGCACCACUGAGAAGAGCCUGGCCCCAUCCUCCUGACACCCCCCCUUUCAGUAUUUAUCAGCGUUGAUAAGGUCCCCGCUCAGUUUUCUUUUUUCCAGACUGGAGACCCAAGAGAGAUGUUCCAGUCCCCUCAUCACCUUGGCAGCCCUUUGCUGUCCCCUCUCCAGCAGUUCCCUGUCCUUCUGGAACUGGGGAGCCCAAAACUGGACCCAGCGCUCCAGACGCGGCCUCCCCAGGGCAGAGCAGAGGGGGAGGAUGACCUCCCUCCACCUUAGCUGAAGGCGGCACUACAGUUUAUCAAAUUUCUCCCAAUAUUUUCCUGCAUGUUAGUGUGCAAGUUUAGCUCCAGAGGGUGAACUUCUUCCAGGGUUUUAUCUCCGAGAAAUCUUGGAGGUGACCUGUAGGCUAGAAACUUUGGUCGGGAAACGCUUACUGCCGACACGCGUGCACUGUGUGCUGUGGACUUUCCUUGGGUGUUUAACGUAAACGUCGGUUAGCUGAAAAUGGGCAGAGACAUGGUGUCAAUGUAAACAAGCUCAUCAUAGCUCCUAAAACAAAAAAAUAGAUAUAUAUUAGUGACUUGAGCUUUAUCUGCAGUAGUGGGUAAACACCACCUAAUAGUCAGGUACUGCUGAACGAGUUCCAGGCGGAGAGUGGGAUGCUCUCCCUGAACACCGUGCCCUGGGCAGUGGUGCUUCCAGGAGACCGACGUUGGGUUGUACACAAGGGUCAGAGCUCCUGCUGCUUCCAAUACAAUACCCUUUUCCUCAAGCCAGAAGUUUGUAAAGGACAGAAGUAGCUCUUCUCAUCUUAAAGUUGUAGCUGUAGUCAGGAAAAUGCCAUAAACCUGCCACGUCUUUAUUGUGGAUCCGAGCUUUAAAAAGCUGGGAUGGUCGGACGCUGGUGGUGUCUCUGGGGAGCACAAUCCUUGACAUACAUUUUCCAGAGCAAGAAACCAGUAGGAUUUUGGGUUUGGGGGUUGUUUUGGGGUCUUUUGGUUGUUUUUGUUGUUUGUUUUUUGUUUUUUUUUUUAAUCGUUCAGUUCUGACUGAAGUUUUUCCAGUUCAUGUUGAACAAAACCCUCAAAACAGUGGUUCAGGUUUAGCUUGACAAAGCAAAAAAACAACAAACCAGCCCCCACAGUGGUGCAGUUCAAUCUGGUUUCGGUCAGAAACUGUUUUUUUCAUAGCUGACAGGGGAGACCUCAAAAAACUGAGUGUGUGACGGAUGUUACCACAGGCUCCACUGUGGCACCAGGCCUGAGGGAGGCGGGAGCCUUAUUUCUCUCUAAUUGCCCGAUAACGGCGGUGGUCCGCAGUGGUCCGCGCGCGUGCCGGUGUGAGCAUCUAUUGCCUGCUUGCCUUCAACUCGGGCGUUGUCACUUGUCCUCUCCAACGAUGAUUGGAGAGGACAGUUUGGAGACUGGAGAUCUCACAUGAUUCUCGGACUUUCAUGGAGCCAGCACAAGCUGUGGGAGAGCAAAACGAAACCUCCGAUUCGUAGCGGGCUCCUUAGUGCUGUCGGAAGAGCGUGCGACUGGGAAUCGGUCGCUCUAGCCCAGCCUGACGCCCGGGUUGUGUGUUGCGUUCAUCAUGGGGAGGGGGGGUGGGGCGGGGGCGUGUCACACUUUAACACUAAAAAAUUAAUGAUUUCAUCCUAGAAGUCACCGCCAGUAAGUAUGAGCUUGGGUACUUUCAGCCUGGUUGAAAGUAAAACCGAACUCUUUAAAGAAAAGUAGGGAUUGACGGCUCUGGGCGGGGAUGGUCUUGUUAUUCGUAACCGUGUUCCUCCAGUUCCUCCACCCAGCCCCGUGCUGGAGGAACUGGGGCUCCUGCAGAUCCUCGCAACGCGCCCGACCCGUUUGAGCAGCGCCGGUGUUCCUUCGCUGAAACUGAAUGUAGCGGUGCUUUGCAGGUGGAUUACAUGGGAGGCGGGAGGCGGAGAUUUAGACGAGCACGGAGAGGAUUUAUGAGCUGAGGUACCCGUUUGCUUCGUGCCAGUUUCUUGGAUGCUCGACAGUAGCUGCUUUCAGUGAGGAGGUUUAUUCUUGGGAGGUAACACUGUAAGUAGAACAGUUUUAAAUGUCUGAUGUCUUUGUGGAAGGACUUUGUACUAAUGUUCAAAUAAUAGUAUAUGGGCUAGUGUCACGAAGAGUGCAAACUCUAAAGGUUGUUAAUUUUAGCGCUUGCGAAUGCACACCGUUAACUCGGCAUGCGUGUGCAUGAGGAGCAAACUUUUCAAGCUCGUUUCAUACAGUGCUGAAUGAAGGAUUUUCUUCUGAUCCAUUACCUACGAUAUAUUUUUGCUAUUUUAAGAUCUUCUACGCAGUUUAGCCCCUUAAUUACAAAAAAAACCAAAACAAAACAAAAAAAAAAAAAACAAACACACACUACCACCAAAAGAACCCAGCUGAGAGAGUUGGCCAGUGUAGGACGGCUGGUGUGAAAACUCAGUUCAAGUAUUUUUUCUGCAGAGGGGCUGCUAUUGCCGAACAAACCGAAGCCGUGGAAAUGAAGCGCAGACGGGAUGUAACGAAAUAGGGAUUUAGUUCUCUGUAAGGACGUAGUCAGUCAACAGCUGUGUCAGGGAUGCUGGUAAAAUGAAGAUCCUUCCCUGAUUUUUAUCUUGCAUCUCAUCUGCCUUGUUGGUUAGUCAAUUCAUCGCAUACGCUACGCGUACGAGCUUCAUCGCUUUGGUUCGACAGAUUCCUGAACCGUAGCCCCCCUGUGUGAAGAGGGCGACUCUUCUUUCCCACAGGCUGUAGAAGGUGGAGCAUUUGCUCGGUGAUGGCUUGCAGCAUUGGUGCGUGGUAUCUACGAGGACAGAUAAAACUUUUAUCUACGAUAUAAGUAUCUUAAAUCUGUGGUAUGAGCAAUUUUAUAUUUUUUUUUUUAUGGUUUGCAAGUAAUAAAGAACUGAAGGUGUCACCUCACUAAUAUCUUCCUGUGCCGACAACAGGAUAGAGUCAUUGAUAGACCAAGAGAAAAAGCAAUGUUGUUUCCAAGCAGCAAAAGGCGUUUUGGGUAAACAAACACCUCUGUUUUUCAAAACCCAUAGGUCUUACUGUAAUACGUGCAUCAGAUUUUCAGUUGAGUCUGGGUGGGUUCUUUCCACCCCGUGUCUCUAGAGCUCCUCGUGGUUUUGAUAUCGGCCAUCCCCCUGACGGAAUUACAGCCUUGGAUCCAAUUGCACAGCAUAAUAUAUAUUUUUAUAUGUGUAAAUACGUUGUAAUACGUAGCAUUUCCAGUGACCAAACGUAGACUUGCUUCUUCCUUCUGUGAUGUAACAUGGGGAAAAACCCUAUUUCAAAACUAACAGUGGGGGGAAGAGGAGAAGAGAUGAGCAAAUAACCCAAGGGUUUCUGCAGAGUGAAUUUUCCGUGGAAUAAUGAAGCCUAUGUCAGGUUACGUGGAAAGAAAACAAACUUGAAAAGGACUGGUCAGCUGAAAUUGCAGUGGAUUUUGGUUUUUUUCCUUCUGUUUUGCUUUUAAAAAACACUGGAAUUUACAUUCCUUUAGCCUGUUGUAGUUUAAAACUGUAAAAAUUUUCUAAAACUGUAAAAAAUAA